rnacentral:rRNA from 1 species
UACAGAGGUCUCAAGCGUUGUUCGGAUUCAUUGGGCGUAAAGGGUGCGUAGGCGGCGCGGUAAGUCGGGUGGUGAAAUCUCGGAGCUUAACUCCGAAACUGCAUUCGAUACUGCCGUGCUUGAGGACUGGAGAGGAGACUGGAAUUUACGGUGUAGCGGUGAAAUGCGUAGAUAUCGUAAGGAAGACCAGUGGCGAAGGCGGGUCUCUGGACAGUUCCUGACGCUGAGGCACGAAGGCCAGGGGAGCAAACAGG